UACGUAGGGGGCGAGCGUUGUCCGGAAUUAUUGGGCGUAAAGGGUUCGUAGGCGGUCUUUUAAGUCAGAUGUGAAAGGUCACGGCUCAACCGUGGUAAGCAUUUGAAACUGAAAGACUUGAGUUAAGGAGAGGAAAGUGGAAUUCCUAGUGUAGCGGUGAAAUGCGUAGAUAUUAGGAGGAAUACCAGUGGCGAAGGCGACUUUCUGGACUUAUACUGACGCUGAGGAACGAAAGCGUGGGGAGCAAACAGGAUUAGAUACCCUGGUAGUCCACGCCGUAAACGAUGAGUGCUAGGUGUUGGGGGUCAAACCUCGGUGCCGCAGCUAACGCAUUAAGCACUCCGCCUGGGGAGUACGUACGCAAGUAUGAA
rnacentral:rRNA from 1 species